rnacentral:rRNA from 1 species
CCUACGGGUGGCAGCAGUGAGGAAUAUUGGUCAAUGGGCGCGAGCCUGAACCAGCAAAGUAGCGUGAAGGAUGACUGCCCUACGGGUGGGAAACUUCGUUUAUAAAGGAAUAAAGUGAGGCACGUGUGCCGUUUUGUAUGUACUUUAUGAAUAAGGAUCGGCUAACUCCGUGCCAGCAGCCGCGGUAAUACGGAGGAUCCGAGCGUUAUCCGGAUUUAUUGGGGUUAAAGGGAGCGUAGAUGGGUUGGUAAGUCAGUUGUGCAAGUUUGCGGCUCACCCAUAAAAUUGCCAUUGAUACGGGCAGCCUUGUGUACAGUUGCGGUAGGCUGAUUUCGUUUUGUAGCGUUGCAAUGCUUCGCUCUCACG